rnacentral:rRNA from 1 species
AUGAGGAGACAUGUGUUCAAUCGUAUUCGGGAGGGAGUGGUAGGAUAUGACCCAUACUUUGAGUGCAAAGAGGAUGUCCUUGGCAAGCUUGGCUUCUCUUCUUACCAGAAAUGCGCUGCGGCUAUCCGCAUGGUUGCAUAUGGAAUUCCUGGUGAUCUCGUGGAUGAGUAUGUGCGUACGAGUGAGUCCAUAUGUCUCCUCUCAAUGUACAAUUUCGGCAAGGCCGUGGUGGCAGUGUUCGGCCCUGAGUACCUGAGAGAGCCACUUGCCGCUGAUACAGAGAGGUUGUUGGCGAUCAAUGCCGAUAAGGGCUUUCCGGGCAUGCUUGGUAGUAUAGAUUGUAUGCACCGGAAGUGGAAGAACUGUCCAUUUGCUUGGCAGGGGCGGUACAAGGGGCAUUUGAAAGGUGCCACUAUCAUACUUGAAGUGGUGGCUUCACAAGAUCUGUGGAUAUGA